AGGGUUGUAGUUCAGUGGUACAGUAUCUGCUGUGCAGGCAGAAGGACCCAGGUUCAAUCCCUGGAAACUCUG